rnacentral:rRNA from 1 species
GACGUAGGGCGCGAGCGUUGUCCGGAUUUAUUGGGCGUAAAGAGCUCGUAGGCGGCUUGUCGCGUCGACUGUGAAAACCCGCGGCUCAACUGCGGGCCUGCAGCCGAUACGGGCAGGCUAGAGUUCGGUAGGGGAGACUGGAAUUCCCAGUGUAGCGGUGAAAUGCGUAGAUAUUGGGAGGAACACCAGUGGCGAAGGCGGCUACCUGGACCGGUUCUGACGCUGAGGCGCGAAAGCGUGGGUAGCAAACAGG